CCCUCUCAUGACUGCAGUCCAUCAGUAGAAUAAUGCAACAUAUUGUAACCCAGGUUAUUUGGAGUAAUCCAAAUAUUUGUAAUAAUUAAGGUUAUGUCUCCAUUUGUCUCUUUUAUCCUGCCACCCACCAUUCGUGAACUAAGUACGAAAUCUUGCAUGAUGUAGCAUGAUUUGAGUUUUUAAAAGUGGGGCGGAGCGCAUUGUUUGGUCUGGGACAACAUGUCGUGGACUGGGAAGUUCAGGCCUGGCUGCUGCAGUUUCUAGAUGCAUCUAAUCUUUGAAAGACUGGGUUUGAUCGGCUUACAAACAGGAAGAAAAGAACUGAUAAACCAUGCUGCUGUGUACAUCAGUCAGGCUCAGCGUGUCACAUACAGCCUCAACACAUCUCCACAUUGACCCAGGCUGCAGUUUAGUUGAGGCCCCUGCUACUUCUAAUGGUGUUCUGCCACCAAAAUAAAACCGGCGACAUGCCUGCUCAGCUAAUCAGUGGGAUCAAUAGUGCAUUGCAUCCUCUUAUAAAUAUGUUGACACCCGUAAGGUCCUGUAAGUCAACUGUGAAUUACAUUUUUGUGCUGCCAUGACAGUUAAUAGAGUCAGUAUACUGCUCAGUGUGUGACAAAAUCCGGCAGUCGUGGCUCAUUUGAGUUAAUGCCCCCCCUUCUCAGUGCUCCACCCUUGCUAUUGAUUACUGUUUAAAAGGCUAUGGGUAGUCAAUACGACCUCUCAUCACCAUCUGUCUCUAUUUACUAAUAAAUAAAGUGGAGUGCAUUGACUGCUUUGGCCAGGCCUGUAAAAGCAUGCAUGCUAAUAAGCGUCAGGCCCCUGCAGACACAAGAACAAGAUGGUGUGGACGUUCUUCCUCCUCACAAUCUCUGCCUUGUGCUUUGCACGAGGCACAGAACUCCAAUCAUUGUAAUUGCCUGCUGGUCUUCCUGGUGUUCAAUAUCCCUCAUCAAAGGAAAUGCGUCUUCGCUCCGCCUGCAUGGAUUUUUCUCCACUCGUGUCCACACUGUUGUGUUGUUGUUUUUUCCUCUCAAGUAGUGUGCAGGUCAGCUUUUAGGGUCAUGUCUAGUCAUUUGUCAAGACGUGGGCCAUAAGCUUGGCCUCACCACACUCUGUUUUACUGAUCAAUUACAGUUCAUACAGAUGGGCUCAUUUAAAAAAAGCACCCAUAAAGCAAGUGUCAUAAAUGAUACCAUUUUUUUCCAUCCAGGACUUUCUGCUGUAUAUGUUAGGGAAUAAAUUAGUCUUUGUUUCAAUAAAGGUGUUGUAGAGCUGUUAAGUUAUGUUAAACUUCAUGCUUUUUUUUUUUUGCUAAUGGUGAAUCCUUUUUUUUUAAAUGAAUGAUUUUUUUUCACAGAAAAUAAUCAGAUUUCAGGAUAUUUUCAAGAUUAAGAUUUGUAAACUAUUAGUCAAAAUAAUUACACUACAUUUAAGGAUCUUAAAACAAAAACUGGUCCUAUUGAUGAAUGUAGUUAUGUUUAAUUGUCAUUAAAAUAUGUUUACUUUAAAGAAACAUAAUCAAUAAAACAAAUGUAUUUAUAAAUUCCAGUGUAUAUAAGACUUCUUGCUAAAGUUGUUUUGACAUUUAAACCCAUAAUUUUUCUAUUGAAUACAAGACUUAAACUUUAACAUUUAUUAAUAUUCAAUCAUCAAUUAAUUAUUACAGAUGCUUUCUUAAUUUCUAAGUUAUAAAUAAUGGCCCAUUCAUAUUAGGACUUUGACAUGCAUUUACCAUCUAAAUGACAGUUCUCAAGGUCACAAAAAUGCUAAUAUUUUAGAACGUAAAAGAGUUAUUCUGUGGAGUAACAUGGAUUUUGUGACUUCAUCUAUAAUUUAAAACAUGUAUCUUCAAGGGACUGAAGGGAAAAGCAGUUGAGGAAGUAAAAAGCGAAACAAUGUGUCCACUGCCAUGGGCGAAAGAGCAGAAAAAUGGUGAUAUUCACAAAGCAGAUGCACACAAACACAUUCCUGCAUACAGACAGAGCAUCCAUUUGGUCUGACACUGAUUUCCUGAGUGAAGGCGUGCUGCUGAUGUGAGGAGGCUCUCCAAGCUCAGCAUAACACAGUACUGCUGUGUCAACUGUGACCCGAGCGACCCUGCAGGAGCUGGAGAAUGGGCUCUGGGGUCGCUCUGUGGCUCAGGUGAAAUGAGGGGUCAGAGGUCAGCUGUCCAGUGUGUCAGACUUGCUGAUCAGGAAGUGUAGCCUCUCGCUUCAGGGAGUACAAAGGGAGUGUCAUGUUUUGGAUACAUACUCACACUCUGACAUAAAUCUUCCAUGCUUACAUGCAGCAGAGCUCCCUGCUAGCACACUGCCACAAGAAAGCGAUGCAAAUUAUCAUAAUGUGGGCGAUGCAAUCAUUAUUUUUAAUGUACAACUCUGAAUAUCUUCCGGAAUUUAAUUCAGUUUCUAAACUUUUUGCCCAUAUUUAAAACCCUACCUUACGUCUUCCAGGAUUACACACAGUUGAGCAGAGCAAGGGUUCAUGUUUGUUUGUCCCAACCCCUGCUCUCCAUCUGCACCUCUCUCUCAUUGCAGACACAUCCAAACGGACCCCCUACCUCUGCAGUGCUGAGGCAGCCCUUCCUUCCAUCCUCGAUCCUGAGUCUCAGGUUAGAGAACUCACUGUUGUUCUGAGCCACCCCAACAUCCUGGUACCGCUAUGAAGGGAAAACACUGGUGCUUCAGUAGGGUUUCCUUCCCCCUGGCUUUUUCUAAAGCAGCCUCUGCUGGCUGUCCGGAUCAAACCGGCCCACAGUGUGGUGCCGAGUCCUCUCUGCAAACAAGAGGAGGCCCUCUGCUUUAAAGACUCGCAGCAGGAGCGCCCGUCCUAGAAGUUUAACUUUUCAACAGCCUUGGAGAGGUAGUAUUACAAGGACAGAUUAUUGUACGAGUUUCCUCCCGAGUUUGGACUUGAUUCAAGGUCUUUUAGUUGCGUCUCUGUGUACAUUUUUUUAUGAGUCAAUAUGUGUAUUUAAUGAAUCUGCUUUUUGAAACAGACACAGAAACACUGCUUAUAGCAAAAAUACUUUCACACGUGAGAUGUUUACACAUCUGAAAAGUGUGGCAUGUUUCCUUAUUUCUCUGACUACUGGCUCAGGAGGACAGCUCAUUUUAUGGCAAUUCCAAAACUUGUUGACUACGUGUCUGAAGGCUUUGUACAUCAGGAGGCUAAAAUCUUUGCCAACGCUGCUUUUUAAAAUUGUCAAAGUCAAAUUGGAUGCAAAGCAUCUGUGGACAAAUAUUUUCAGGUAUUGCUGAAAAUUCUUGUUUAGAUCUAAGUUUGAACUAAGACAAGGUCAACAAAAGUGAUCAUGUCCCGUAAUUUUACAUCCUUUAUUUGGUUGCAUACAUCUCCCUGUCAACUGUGACAGGUUUUUCUCUGCCCACUCAGGAAAUGCACCCCCACAGUUUGAUGCUGCUUUGACAAAUUCUUUCACCUGAGCUCUGGAUCUCUCCAGCUCCUCCAGAGUUACUAUGUCCCUGUCUGUUAGCUGCUUCUCUGAUUAGUGCUCUCCUUUCUGUACCUAUCAUCACAGGAUGGCCAGGUUUGCUGUUAUGCCAAACCCUGUUCGGAUGGAGGAUAGAACAGCUUUGGGUUUGUUUUAAUCACCAAACCCGUUUCAACACACACAACAAUCUCCUAGAAUUAUUUGUGCUUCACCUUUGUCCUUAUGAUGAGGUUCGUCCACAUAUAUUCUCCAACAAACUUCUGAGGUCUUCUCAGAACUGCAUUUACACACACAGGUGGAAGACAAUUAGCUUAAGAUUAGUUCAAGUUCAAAUGAAUUGAACUUGAACCUAUUUGUAUCAUAGGGGGCAGAAUACAUACAUCCUACAUUAUAUUUGUCCUUCUUUGUUCACUUUGCAGUUAUGUACUACUGUGCUUAACACUAAAGUUGAUCCAUACCUACGAUAUGAACGUAAAUUCUAGGUAAAGUACUUCGAAGCUUGUUGCAAAAUGUAAUAAAGUAACUUUGAAAGGCAC